UACGGAGGGAGCUAGCGUUGUUCGGAAUUACUGGGCGUAAAGCGCACGUAGGCGGCUUUGUAAGUAAGAGGUGAAAGCCUGGAGCUCAACUCCAGAAUAGCCUUUUAGACUGCAUCGCUUGAAUCCGGGAGAGGUGAGUGGAAUUCCGAGUGUAGAGGUGAAAUUCGUAGAUAUUCGGAAGAACACCAGUGGCGAAGGCGGCUCACUGGACCGGUAUUGACGCUGAGGUGCGAAAGCGUGGGGAGGCAAACAGGAU
rnacentral:rRNA from 1 species